AACUCAUUGCGAAGAGAGAGAUUUGGAUAUCCACCUUCCUGUUGACUUGCCCAGAUGUCUAUCACGGUGCCUUCCGUAUCCCAGGAGGACGUUGAACAUUGGCAGGCAUGCCUAGCUGAAAGCCGAUGCACCGAGGCCUGCUCCAUGCUAAGGCUGUAAUUCUUCACCCCAAGAAUCUUCAUUCUGGUCUUCAAGUAUUCAAGGCACAAGUGAAGCAGCCUACUCUGCGACACAAUGGCUCCUGGCCCUUUGGCAUUAGGGAGGGAAACACGGAGCAGGGAACCCCUGAGUGUGCUGCUUCACAAUGCACGAUCCCCAGGUGCUGGGAAGGGCUGACAAGAUUUGAAGUGUCAGAGGUCUCAAUAGUUUCAGAAAAGGACUUCUAGAGAGAGCUGCUAUCUCUUCAGUUACCCCCGAGAUCAAGCGAAUCGAGCGUACUUCCUCUGGACCUAACAGUCUCAUGGCACACCCCCAGCUCUCCACCUGGGCCACACUGGACACGGCAGUUACUUCUCGUUUCAUCCUAGCUGUGCUCCUGCGCAUGAAAACUUCAUCUGCUCCCUGCAGCUUCCUUGAUUUUGCCAGGCCUGACUUUUAACGCUUACUGUAUAAGCAAUUAACAGGAUUUGAAAAGUCAAUGGGAAACAGAUCUUCAAGAGCAUUCUCUGAAUACCAGCACCCCGUGAAGCGGUUUUAAAAUGUGCAGCAUCGCCCUAGAGAUACUCUGACCCCAGUCAAUUAUUAGGGGGAUUAUGAGAGUCCAAACAGCAUUUAUCAAACUGACAGAAAAAAACAAAAUCCCAAACUAGUACAUACCUUUUGUAGCAAGUUAUUUUAGUAGAAGAAGUUUUGCUUUUGAAAAUAUGGAUGAAACUACAGGUUCAUUUCUCUGCUUAGUCAGAAUAUGGAAUAAUAAUGAAGGGGCCACUUUUUACAGAAGCUUUCCAAUAGCCUCACUUCCUACUGCUCCUCCUUUUCACCCUGAGUCCUAAACUAACUCCAAAGAUAAAUUCCCAGCCCUGGGCAAGUAGUCUCCCAGAGGGUAGCACUGUUACAAGAAGAUAGAACAUAUCAUAGGUUCUUCCUCAUAGCGUGGCCCUCGGGGACACCUGAUGUGUGCCCAUAGUGUUGAUUAAAAAUUCCCCUUCCAUCCUAUAGCACCCUUAGCCUUGGGUUAUUUCAAAUUAGACCUGCUCUUUUCCCAGUUGAAAAUGGAGUACCACCUGUAGACGCUUUUUUCUCUUGUUAGCAUGGUAUAAUGAUUUAAUGAGAAUCGCUGGGUUACAAAUGCACAGAUGACUUUCCUUUUAUUCCUUUUUUCUAUUUGAUAAAAUUAUCUCAACAGAACGACACUAACACUUUUAUUUCCUUUGCGGGGAAAAGCGUGUCCUUCUACUGAUCAGAAUAGCUAACUUCAACUUUCCUUUGUCAUCGUCCUGGUAUCUCUUUAAGCUAUGACAAUCCAGUACAUACCUGAUACCCUCAGUAAUUGUGAUAAGUUGAAUAGAAACAGUGCCUUCAUCUCAAAAACUGUUUAACAUUUUACUGUUCAAUAUAUUCUACUACUCAUGGGAGUACCAAGAAAUAAGAUUUUACAAAUCAUUAUCAGAAGAAAGAUACUCAUCAAAUAUAUAAUCAUUCUUAAGGAGAAAUAGUGGAUUGCUUUUUUUCUCAUUUGAAGCAUUGACUCUAGACUCAUUUAUAGCAAAAUGAUUUAUUUAUCAUUGCUGAGCAGAGGAAAUUGCUUUUUAAAAAAUCAGCACUCCUUUAUUUUCUAAAAUAAUCAUGGUAGCACAGAAGACACUAAGAAUUGGCACUGUCACCUGAAUUCUCUCCACCCUCCAAACCUGCCAUUUCCCUGGGAGCCUUAAGAUCAGCUUGAAUUGACUUUCCCAAGAGUUGUUUUUCUGUCUUUUCCCUAAUUUCCUGAGGUUUCUGUAUGUAUGCCUAAGAGCCAAUAAUUGUCUUGAAGAGACCGACAUAAAAAUAAAUGAGAUGUCUAAAAUUCAUUUUUAUCUCAUAAAUGUUACACCUUGUCAAUUAAAACAAAUAUCCCUUUUCUG
rnacentral:lncRNA from 1 species